rnacentral:rRNA from 1 species
GGUGAGUAAUGCCUAGGAAUCUGCCUGGUAGUGGGGGACAACGUUUCGAAAGGAACGCUAAUACCGCAUACGUCCUACGGGAGAAAGCAGGGACCUUCGGGCCUUGCGCCAUCAGAUGAGCCUAGGUCGGAUUAGCUAGUUGGUGAGGUAAUGGCUCACCAAGGCGACGAUCCGUAACUGGUCUGAGAGGAUGAUCAGUCACACUGGAACUGAGACACGGUCCAG